ACCUACGGGGGGCAGCAGUGGGGAAUAUUGCACAAUGGGGGAAACCCUGAUGCAGCGACGCCGCGUGAGUGAAGAAGUAUUUCGGUAUGUAAAGCUCUAUCAGCAGGGAAGAAAAAAAGUCCUUUGGACUUUGGACGGUACCUGACCAAGAAGCCCCGGCUAACUACGUGCCAGCAGCCGCGGUAAUACGUAGGGGGCAAGCGUUAUCCGGAUUUACUGGGUGUAAAGGGAGCGUAGACGGCAGCGCAAGUCUGGAGUGAAAUGCCGGGGCCCAACCCCGGACCUGCUUUGGAAACUGUGCAGCU
rnacentral:rRNA from 1 species